rnacentral:rRNA from 1 species
CGGACGGGUGAGUAACGCGUGGGUAACCUACCUAUAAGACUGGGACAACUCGGGAAACCGGAGCUAAUACCGGAUAAGAUAUCGAACCGCAUGGUUCGAUAGUGAAAGAUGGUUUUGCUAUCACUUAUAGAUGGACCCGCGCCGUAUUAGCUAGUUGGUGAGGUAACGGCUCACCAAGGCAACGAUACGUAGCCGACCUGAGAGGGUGAUCGGCCACACUGGAACUGAGACACGGUCCAGACUCCUACGGGAGGCAGCAGUC